GAGUUUGAUCCUGGCUCAGGAUGAACGCUGGCGACGUGGAUAAGGCAUGCAAGUCGAACGGUUGUAGCAAUACAACAGUGGCGAACGGGUUAGUAACACGUAGAUAUCAACCCUUUACUCGGGCAUAACCUGGAGAAAUCUAGGCUAAUUCCCGAUAGUCCGGAAACGGUAAAGAUUUUUCGGUAAAGGAUGAGUCUGCGUCCUAUCAGCUAGUUGGUGAGGUAAUGGCCCACCAAGGCAAUGACGGGUAGGCGGAGUGAGAGCUUGACCGCCAACAAUGGCACUGGAACAUGGGCCAUACUCCUACGGGAGGCAGCAGUCGAGAAUAUUUGACAAUGGGCGAAAGCCUGAUCAAGCGACGUCGCGUGUGGGAUUAAGAUCUUCGGAUUGUAAACCACUUUUCUAGGGGAAGAACUUUGACUGUACCCUAGGAAUAAGGGGUGACUAAACUCGUGCCAGCAGUAGCGGUAAUACGAGUGCCCCAAGCGUUAUCCGGAUUUAUUGGGCGUAAAGGGUCUGUAGGUGGUUUGUUAAGUUUCUCGUUAAAGCUCCAGGGCUUAACCUUGGAAAAGCGGGAAAAACUGGCAAACUAGAGGAUGUUAGAGGCUGAUGGAACACUUGGUGAAGGGGUGGAAUCCGUUGAUAUCAAGUGGAACACCGAAAGCGAAGGCAAUCAGCUGGGACAGUCCUGACACUGAAAGACGAAAGCGUGGGGAGAGAAAAGGAUUA
rnacentral:rRNA from 1 species